UGGGUGUGUAAGCGCUGUGAGGCGUUGAGCUAACCAAUACUAAUUGCCCGUGAGGCUUGACCAUAUAACACCCAAGCAAUU
rnacentral:rRNA from 1 species